rnacentral:rRNA from 1 species
GCAGUCGAGGGGUAUAGUUCUUCGGAAUUAGAGACCGGCGCACGGGUGCGUAACGCGUAUGCAAUCUACCUUUUACAGGGGAAUAGCCCAGAGAAAUUUGGAUUAAUGCCCCAUAGUAUAAUUUAUUCGCAUGAGUAGAUUAUUAAAGUUCCAACGGUAAAAGAUGAGCAUGCGUCCCAUUAGCUAGAUGGUAAGGUAACGGCUUACCAUGGCGACGAUGGGUAGGGGUCCUGAGAGGGAGAUCCCCCACACUGGUACUGAGACACGGACCAGACUCCUACGGGAGGCAGCAGUGAGGAAUAUUGGUCAAUGGACGCAAGUCUGACCAGCCAUGCCGCGUGCAGGAUGACGGUCCUAUGGAUUGUAAACUGCUUUUGUACGAGAAGAAACAUCCCUACGUGUCGGGACUUGACGGUAUCGUAAGAAUAAGGAUCGGCUAACUCCGUGCCAGCAGCCGCGGUAAUACGGAGGAUCCAAGCGUUAUCCGGAAUCAUUGGGUUUAAAGGGUCCGUAGGCGGUCUAAUAAGUCAGUGGUGAAAGCCCAUCGCUCAACGGUGGAACGGCCAUUGAUACUGUCUGACUUGAAUUAUUAGGAAGUAACUAGAAUAUGUAGUGUAGCGGUGAAAUGCUUAGAGAUUACAUGGAAUACCAAUUGCGAAGGCAGGUUACUACUAAUGGAUUGACGCUGAUGGACGAAAGCGUGGGUAGCGAACAGGAUUAGAUACCCUGGUAGUCCACGCCGUAAACGAUGGAUACUAGCUGUUGGGAGCAAUUUCAGUGGCUAAGCGAAAGUGAUAAGUAUCCCACCUGGGGAGUACGUUCGCAAGAAUGAAACUCAAAGGAAUUGACGGGGGCCCGCACAAGCGGUGGAGCAUGUGGUUUAAUUCGAUGAUACGCGAGGAACCUUACCAAGGCUUAAAUGUAGAUUGACCGGUUUGGAAACAGACUUUUCGCAAGACAAUUUACAAGGUGCUGCAUGGUUGUCGUCAGCUCGUGCCGUGAGGUGUCAGGUUAAGUCCUAUAACGAGCGCAACCCCUGUUGUUAGUUGCCAGCGAGUCAUGUCGGGAACUCUAACAAGACUGCCAGUGCAAACUGUGAGGAAGGUGGGGAUGACGUCAAAUCAUCACGGCCCUUACGCCUUGGGCUACACACGUGCUACAAUGGCCGGUACAGAGAGCAGCCACUGGGUGACCAGGAGCGAAUCUAUAAAACCGGUCACAGUUCGGAUCGGAGUCUGCAACUCGACUCCGUGAAGCUGGAAUCGCUAGUAAUCGGAUAUCAGCCAUGAUCCGGUGAAUACGUUCCCGGGCCUUGUACACACCGCCCGUCAAGCCAUGGAAGCUGGGGGUGCCUGAAGUCGGUGACCGCAA